GGGCGGAUAGUUCAGCUCGGUAGAAUGCUCCCUUCGCAAGGGAGAGGCCCCGGGUUCAAAUCCCGGUCCGUCCA
rnacentral:tRNA from 1 species